rnacentral:rRNA from 1 species
AAUAGAUACCCGGGUAGUCCACGCCGUAAACGAUGGGUGCUAAGUGUUAGAGGGUUUCCGCCCUUUAGUGCUGCAGCUAACGCAUUAAGCACUCCGCCUGGGGAGUACGACCGCAAGGUUGAAACUCAAAGGAAUUGACGGGGGCCCGCACAAGCGGUGGAGCAUGUGGUUUAAUUCGAAGCAACGCGAAGAACCUUACCAGGUCUUGACAUCCUCUGACCUCCCUAGAGAUAGGGCCUUCCCCUUCGGGGGACAGAGUGACAGGUGGUGCAUGGUUGUCGUCAGCUCGUGUCGUGAGAUGUUGGGUUAAGUCCCGCAACGAGCGCAACCCUUGACCUUAGUUGCCAGCAUUCAGUUGGGCACUCUAAGGUGACUGCCGGUGACAAACCGGAGGAAGGUGGGGAUGACGUCAAAUCAUCAUGCCCCUUAUGACCUGGGCUACACACGUGCUACAAUGGAUGGUACAAAGGGCUGCGAGACCGCGAGGUUAAGCCAAUCCCAUAAAACCAUUCUCAGUUCGGAUUGCAGG